rnacentral:rRNA from 1 species
AUUAAACGCUGGCGGCAUGCCUUACACAUGCAAGUCGAACGGUAGCGCGGGGCAACCUGGCGACGAGUGGCGAACGGGUGAGUAAAGCAUCGGAACGUGCCCUGGAAUGGGGGAUAACGUAGCGAAAGUUACGCUAAUACCGCAUAUUCUGUGAGCAGGAAAGCAGGGGAUCGCAAGACCUUGCGUUCUGGGAGCGGCCGAUGUCGGAUUAGCUAGUUGGUGGGGUAAAAGCCUACCAAGGCGACGAUCCGUAGCGGGUCUGAGAGGAUGAUCCGCCACACUGGGACUGAGACACGGCCCAGACUCCUACGGGAGGCAGCAGUGGGGGAAUUUUGGACAAUGGGCGGAAGCCUGAUCCAGCCAUGCCGCGUGAGUGAAGAAGGCCUUGGUUGUUAAAGGCUCUUCGGUUGGGGAAGGAAAGUUAGCACGGGUUAAGUACCCUAGUGUAGAUGACGGUACCGA